GCAAUCCCUCUAACUGAAAAACAUGGGCUUAGAUUUUUAGCAAAGAAAAGGCAUUUUGCAGGCUACGGGUGCCUUCCACCCUAACUACUUUUCAUCCUUCCAGCCUUUCCUCCACGAGUCACUGAAGCUAGAAGCAGAGAUCAAAGAUGCCCUCUUGGGCAAAAACAAUGGGCAGGUAGGGGCCCUGUCCCAUCCCAGCGGUCACCGCUCAGGGAGCAGCUCAGGCCACACACGUCACCGCUGAGGGACCAGCGGUCACUGCAUGGAUUGAAGGGCCUUCCCACCUCCUCCACACGGAAACCUCUGAUGGAGAAAAUGGUACCCAAUGGAGAAGAAAGACCAUCCUAAGGUUGAGGAUCACAAGCAAGAACCCGAUUUUCAUCCAAUUGGCUAACCAGAGUCCGAGUGAGAAUCUACCGACAGCCUUUCUAAACAUAUUCAGAAAACAGCCUUAAACCUCUUAUUCACUUUCUGUCACCUACACACAGAAGGUUAGAAAAGUGACUUUUCAUUUUAUCCCAGCAGGAGCAGCCACGGAUCCCACCUCCAGUCUAGGAAACAUAAGGGGAGGUAAGGAAGCUGGGAUUCACAUGAGGAGCCUUUCUUGCUCCUACAGAGAAAGGAGGGGAGGAAAAAGUCUGCUGCUUGCUUCCACUACAGCCUGCACCCGAACGCCUGAGAUGACAGAGCUCCCAGGGAGCACUUCCCUCCUCUGACAGCCACAUGGGACUAUGAGAAUCACAGAGCCAUCCAGCCAGACUGACUUGGAAGCCACCGAAUGAACAGCAGAACCAACCGAUUUUUUGUUACAUGCUAAAAAUUAUCCCCUGCUGUGUGCAUAAAUAUCAGUCAGAUAUUCAGGUGAAUCCAAUUUAACUGGAGAGCCAGCAAUCUGAGAGGCUUGUGAAUUGUGCGGGAGCAGGGGGAGUAGAGUAAUUGGAUGAUAACCAGGAGUGACAGCAAAGCCGAUGAAGGUGUCCUGGUUUGUUUACUUGGCUUUGUUCUGUUCCCCAGGAAAGAGAACAACGACCGUACAUGCAUCUGGAUUGUAGAACCCUGUCUUUUUGACCAGUUGGCCAAACUGUGAUGAAUUUCAUUGUAUUUUGUCUUACUAAGAGAACAUCUCCUUAUUUAAGGGUAUUUGGUACUAAUUCAUCUGUCUUUCUUUCCUCUGAGGGUUUGUAUUGCUUAAAGAUCAUGCACCAGCAAGAGGGCUGAUAGCUGUUACGUAUCCAGAGGUUAACAGGAUGGAAUUAUUGCCCAUAGACAUCCAAAAGCAGGAGGAAUCAAAUCUUGCCAAAUUCCAUUAAACUGUGCUGAGGGGUGGCAGAAGUUGAAAUUGCACUUUUUUGAAAUAUGCAUGGAUUUGAACAGUUGU